AACAUAACCAUAACAUACAACUUUAUUUUAGAAGGCUCGGAAGAGCCACACACAAGAUAUUACAAGGUAGGGGUCUCACGACCCAUCAUCACAAAUCAUACACACAGUUCUUACAAACCAGUGGAAGAGUAAAGCUGUCUGAGUACAGACAGAUGGAAAGAUAAAGGCACAUGGCCUGACUAUCUACAGACCCAUCCUAGGGCCAGAUCGUAGCCGGGAUACCAGCUACUCGUCGUCGUCGAUGUCUAGGUAGAACCCUCCAUUAGGGUCAUUAACAACCUCUGCAACAAUUUAUUAAGAAAACGUGAGUACAAAAGUACUCAUCAAGACUUUAGGAUAAGCUAUCUACUCAUGCAAUGUAUCAAUAAGGAGUUGUGGGGUUUCAUGCAGAAAGCCAACAUUUGACUCGUGGCUAGACAACUUGCAUUUCUAAAUAAUUUUGAAAAAUUGAUUUCUCGCACACGAGUCCACUAAUUCCACAACAAUACUCCAUCGUGGAAUCAUUCCGUCUCCAGACGGAAAUGUCGUCCACGACACUCACGCUUAUCUUGACAAUUUUAUGUGUAGCCAUUAAAGUUAUCUAUGAACAACAUAUGCUUCCAAGUAGUCCAUAUCCGCGUACGCGGCUAUUCGAAUAGAUCAUAACCCUGCAGGGGUGUACUUCUUCACACACGCUCUCGCCACUUAUCGCCAUGUGCACGUCAUGCACCUCGGCAACCUUCAAGCGGAAGCCCACCGUGGGAGUCGGCCACGACCGCUAACCACGCUAAUACUUAGUCCAGGUCUAUCGCCUAUCUGACGGUAACCCGCACGGAAGUCCGGCCGAGGUUUCCGCCACGGCCCCAAACAAUGUGCGCAGGGUUCCCAAGCCCACCAUUCGGGUGCCACUUGGUACACCGUGCCACUGCCUACCGCAUCAUAGCCCACCUCUAAGGUCAGCGCUACACACGGCCUCCAGCAUGACUAUAAACACCAGAAACUACUUGCAACUCCUGGACCGAGUACUAAGCGAUUAAUAAGUCGAGAGGGUCAAUUAAGUAUCCCAACGUGUGGUAGUAUCUAGUCUUGGAUUACAUACACGGAACUCAGUCCCUAAGGACGGUUCCAAUGAAACAACCUGCCAUGUACUCCUACAUAGCCUUUCACAGGUACCUUUACCAAAUCAGGUUCAACACACAACCUUUACUUACUGAACACAUUCUCACAAUUCUGUUCAUCACCCAGAUGACAAACCAUACACAACUCUAAGCAUAGCAUGCAUAGCAGGAUAAGGCACUUCAUGGCUCAAGCAUCUACCAGGUAUGCUAGGUUGCAAGGUUCAGCUAUUUACUGUGACAAAGACAGGUCAUCACUACAAGAAAUAUGCUCAUACAUGACGAUUUUUAAGAUGUCGUUGAUUAAUUCGUCAUAAAUCUAUGACGAUUUCAUCUGAGAUCGUCGUAAACCGUUUGAGGGGAUCAAAUCUACAUAUAAAUUACGACGAUGCGAGUCAAAAACGUCGUAACCGCAUAAGAUGAGAUUGUCAUAACUUUUACGACGAUUAUAAAAAUGUCGUAACAUGUUCUAACUAUGUUGACAUGUCACUCGUGGGUCCAUUCUAUCCCACCUCAUCCUAGUUUGUGAAGCAACCUACUAUUCUAUCAUUCCAAAAAUUGUCUAAAAAUUCUCAUAAGUACUUUGGAUCAUAUAUUCCUCAAAUAUGUGAAAACCCUUCCUUCCAUAGUUCAAAAAUAAUUCUGCAAUAUUCAUUUUCCUUUUCUGUUCAGAAUAGCACUUUGUGAAGGAAGUGCUAUUUCUAUUUCUUUGAUUACCCUCAUAUUUUUUGGGCACUCUUUCCUAUCGAAAUCAUUGCCUCAUGAAAACCUUCGUAACGAUUUGCCUAGUAAAUCUUUCUCAGCAAAUUUCCAAAGUUUGUAUUCAGCUAAUAGCUUUGUGAAGGAAGUACUAGAUAGGAAUAUCCUGAUGAUUUGAAUUUUUUCCACAUCUUCUAUGUGCCCAAAAGAUAGCUGUCCACAAAAUUUUAGCCCCAUCUAACAAUCCAUGUGAGCUCAUUAUCCAAUAUUUGUUUCUGGUAAUAUUUUCAUUUUGUGAAGCAACUACAUUUUAUAUUGCUUUAUAGUUGACGAAAAUUUAACACGGGAUGCAACUCACCAUAUAACCUCACUUCACCAAAUUUUAGCUCAUUUAAUUCAGCCAGUUUUCCUCAAUAUUUUCCCCAAUAUUCUAUUUAGUAGAGAGCAUUGUGAAGGAAGUACAAUUUUUGUUUAUCCAAUUUUUAUGAAUUUUUUAUAGUGCCUUAAUGUGCUCAAAUUACCAUCCUCCUCCAAAUUUUAGCUCAAUCCAAUCAUCUAUGUAUGCCCAGUUUCAAUUACCAUUUUUUGUCCAGAUUGGCACAUUGUGAAGGAAAUGUCACUUUGGCAUGUCCAAAUGGUAUAAUGUUUUUACAGUGCCUUCAUAUUCUCAAAUUAACAUCAUACACCAAAUUUCAGCUCAAUCCAUUCAUUCAUUUGAUCCCAGCUUCAACAUCCAUAUUUCUGCACAGUGUGUUACUUUGCAAAGCAAGUGCCACCUAGGUUCAUCCAUUUGAGCUAAAAAAUUGCCACGAGAGUCUCCUUAGUAGAUGAUCAUCCCCAGCCAAAAUUUAGGCCCAUUGUCUAUGUGCAUUACCCGCACCGCUAAUCAAACACUUGGCUGCUAAUUCAUGUUUGAGCUUAGUUCAGUCUCCUAGUGAGAUUCUUCUAUUGUAUUCUUCUUCCUAACACCUACCGAGGGAUUGUCCAGCCCACCAGACAUGCCUAUUCCACCCAAAACAAAUGGCAACGCAACGGUGAGGCGGUGACCAUGCGGUUGGCAUGCAAGUUCACGCGCUCUGGAGUUGGGGCCUUGGACCACCAUCCAAACCUCCAUGUCAAGCCACCACACCAUGUAUUUCUAAUUAAAUAGAUUAUUAUGUACCUAUAAAUGAUUUUUGGAAAAAAUAAAGAGCAAACUAUAAUGCAGCUGCAGCUCAAAUUUAACCCGCUCGCAACUGAAUCGACAUAAAUUUAUUUUUUUCACGAGAGGUGGAUAAAAGCUUUUGACAGCCAACCGUUUUGUCAAUUGUACGAUAAAUAUGGCCUAAUAUUUUAUAAAAAUUAUUUGGUCCAAUUUUAAAACAAAUAUAUGGUAGGUCCUUCACAACAAAAAUCAUUUUGGGCACUUGAAAAAUGGAAAAUGAUUUUUACAUACAAGGAAAAUGAAAAGUUCCUUAAUAAACAUUGUUUAUCAUUCCAAUAUGCACCCUUGUGCAUAAUAUUAUAUCAUUUUAACAAACUAUGUCAUGAAUGUGGCCAUAAGAUUGAUCAUUUGGCUUGAAAAACAUGAAUCUUCACACAUGAUAGCCCAUUUCUAAGAACACUUUUUAAAAAUAAUUGUCGUAUUACAAGUUUAUUAUUUUUCCUGGUAACUUUGUCACAUAUAAUGACACAAUGCAAAGGUUUUCCAUUUUUUUGAUUUUUUUAAUUUUUCAUGGCCAUUUCCAAAUGCGCUCAAAACAACGGGUAUGACCGUUCCUGCCUAGUGGUUGAAUCUUGAAAAUAUUUUGGCGUUUCUCUGAUUAAAUAUAUAUUUGUAUACCUAGAAAUGAUUUUUGGGAAAAAUAAAGAACAAACUAUAAUGUAGUUGUAGUUCAAAUUUGACCCGCUUCCACCUCGAUAAAAAAUUGUCUUUUUCACGAGAGGUGUAUAAAAACUUUUGAUACCAAAAUAUUUGGUCAAUUGUAAAUUAAAUAUGGUCUAGUAUUUUAUAAAAAUGAUUUGGUCCAAUUUUAAAAGAAAUAUAUGGUAGGUCCUUCACAAAAAACUCAUUUUGGGCACUCGAAAAAUGGAAAAUGAAUUUUCUGUCCAAAUAAAAUGAAAACUUCCUUAGGCAACAUUGUUUGCCACUCCAAUAUGCACCCUUGUGCACAAUAUGAGAUCAAUUGAACAAACUAUGUCAUGAAUGUGGCCAUAAAAUUGAUCAUUUGCCUUGAAAGCCAUGAAUCUUCACACAUGAUAGAUAGCUUAUUUCUGAGAACACUUUUUAAAAAUAAUUGCCAUAUUACAAGUUUAUUAUUUUUCCUGGUAACUUGGUCACAUAUUAUGACACAACACGAAUCUUUUGUAAUUUUUUGACUUUUUUUUGAAUUUGUUAUGUCCGUUUCAAAAUGUGGUUGAAACAGCGGACAUGACCGUUCAUAGCUAGGGCUUGAAUGUUGCCAAUUUUUUGUUGGAUCUCCGAUUAAAUUGAUAAUUAUUUACCUAAAAAUGUUUUUUGGAAAAACUCAUGAGAAAACUAUGAGGUACCUCUAGUUCAAAUUUGACCCGCUUCCUGCUGAACCGGCAUAAAUUUUGCUUUUUCACGAAAAGUGGAUAAAAGUUUAUGACAACCAACCAUUUGGUCAAUUGUAUAUUAAUAUGGAUUAGUAUUUUUGAAAAUUGAUGGAGUCCAAUUUUGCAACAAAUAUUUGGUAGGUUCUUCACAAAAAAACCAAUUUUUGCCAUUCGGAAAAUGAUUAAAAAAGUUAGAAAGAUCAGUCGUCAACCCGUGCAUUCGCACGGUCUAGUUUUAUAAAAUUUUGUCUUUUUCACCUUAUAGUUUACAUCUAUAUUAUAUAAAAAGUUAUCCAUAGUGCAACCCGUGUACUACGCUUUUAUAUAAGAUUUUUCUUGCAACCAACAAUCGAAAGAAAUGUCAAUAUAUUGGAACACGCUACCAAAGCCAUGAAAGUAACUUCGAACAUGGGGAAACACAAAUACAUGCGAGUGACUAAGUAAAUUAAUGUAAUUUCAUCCAUUAAAUUGUCAUUUUUUUGUUGAAAAAAAACAUGAAAACUUGUUAGGCUUCGAUAGAAAUGACUCAUCCAAUAGAUGCCGAAAUAUUUAUUUCGAAUAAUACUAAAAGGAAACCUUAUGAAAUUUUUGGAGGCAACGCCAUCAACAUGAGGCAGCAAUCCAAUUUACGUUUCAACUAAAGGAUUUACGCUUGGAUAUUUGAUAUUAUUUUUUAUUUUCAUACUAUUUUUUUGCUUAACAAAUAGCUUGAAACUAACUUCUAGUGCUAGUAAUAAUGAUAGUGAAAUGCAUAUCUGAGGUUUACUGUACUGACAUGACAUGCACAAUGUGUGGAAGCGUCAUCUUCUUCGACAGAUUCUUAGGCCGUUAGACCUAUGUAUGUCCAAAACAUCUUAAAUUGAAGAAAUCUCAUGUAUCUAUAGGACAUCCAAGAGUAUCUAUAGGACAAAUUAGCCUCUGGUUGAGCAUCUCCUUUAUCUUAAAUUUAAAAAUCUCCUCUAUGUAUAGGACAUGUAUUAUAGAGUUUGAUAUAUGCCCAUUAUCCUUGAAAAAGUAGACAAUAAGUGGCAGAAAACAUGAAUAAAGAACAUAUUUAGAGUAGCGUCAUGACCAUAUUGCAUUAGCUUUGCUGCUAGCUCGUCCUUCGUCGCCCACAUGUGUAGCCAUCAAAUGGGCCAAUUACCAGAAUUUCACAAAACUGUGUGUUCAAUAUGCACCUCUCGCAGCUGCACAUUGAAAGACAAAAAUAUGUAAAAAUUAUUCAACGGAUCUGGAAAAAAAAACAAAAAUGAAUACAACACAUGUUUUAAGAAUGCCACCGAUAAAAGUACACUGGAUUUCAUCAACAAAGACCAUAAUAGAUCGCUAGUUGACAAAAAGGAGUGUAUAUGCAGACUUAUUAGUUAAGGAUCUCUCUCACAUAAUUUAACAAAAGAAAGGUAUUUGAAAACUUACAUGGUAGGAGUAUUUACGUCAAGCAGAGAGCGUCUUCUCUUAUGCAUGCUUGUCUAUUCCUACAGGAAAGACACACAUUACAGGUUCUGCAUAAAAGCAAUCUGGAUGUAUGUGCAUAUGCAAUUACGCAUGUAGCCACAUAGAGGGUCGGUAGAUAAUUAGUAGGUGCGCUGAUCGAUCUAGCCAGAUAGCAUGUGCGGCAAAUAAUUAAUUAGCAGGUGCACUGAUCGUUUGAUAGGACGGACCACCAUUUGGUCGGCAAUGGCGUCGGCCUCAACCAAUACAAUGGCGCUAACAUCUCGCUGACGGCAGUAGCGGCGUGGCAUGCACAAUUCAUGGGACGUUCGAUAAAACCGUACCAUCAUCUCGUCGGCGACAUCGGCGGCGUGGCAUACGAUGUCCGAUACAAUAGCAUCAUCAUCUCAUCGGCGACGACAACGGCAUGACGUGCAUGAUCCAGGUGAUGUCCGAUACAAAGGUACCAUCAUCUCGUCGGCGACGAUGACGGCGUGGCAUGCACGAUCCGUGCGACGAUAUCAUCAUCUCGUCACAACGGCAUCAUCAUGUCAUCCACGGUGUGGCAUGCAUGAUACAUGCCACGACAUCCCAGUCUCGUCAUAACAGCGGCGGCGGCCUGGACGAUGGUACAUUGCUUAAUUUACCCAAGAGGUAAUGGACCAGCCAAAACAGGUGGCGGCUACCUGGCCUGUAGUUGUUUCUUAAUUUACCCUUGAGGUUAAGGUAAUGGGUUGGAUGGACAACCACGAUCCCAAUCUCGUCAUAUCAGUAGCGGCGGCCUGGACCGUGGUACGUUGCUUAAUU
rnacentral:lncRNA from 1 species